GACGCGCCGAUUUACAGGCAGGGCGGAGUCACAGGAUACGUCCGCGCCCCUUCCCUUCGCUCAUUGGUUGGAGCAGACACAUCCCCGCAGGACCAAAACAAACCCUAAGUGUGGUUAUACUGCAAGCUAGCUACAGUGAGCAUGUAGCAUGGAGUAAGGUGGGUGUGUUGUAGAAUCUGUGAGACUGCAGAUAUGCCCUUCUUGCCUUUUCUGGCCAAAAGUGGACCACACCAGUGGUUUUCAAAGUGUGGUCCGGGGACCCCAGUAGUCCUUGAAAGGGUUCCAGGGGGUCCUCAGCAAAAAGGGGAAUCAUUUAUUUAUUUAUUUAUUUAUUUAUUUAUUUAUUCACUGUUUGCUCUGCACAAGCUGGCACCCAGAAGAGAAGCACUUGUAGUAGUAGAAGCACAAGGAUUUUCAGCUUUUUGGGAAUCAUUUAUUUCCACUAUAUUACCAUCCAUAAGAAGGACAAUUACACAGUGUGUCAACAUUUUUGUCAGGGGUUUCAUGCACUCUCUGUAAUAAAACAAUUAAAAGCAAAAAUUUGAAGGGGGAAAAAUCUUGUGAGGAUCCUUGGUAAAUUGUGUACGUUUAGGGGUCCUUAGUCCUUAGAAAAGUUUGAAAACGACUGGACUGGAUGAAAAAACGACACAAAGAAGACCAACCUCCAUUGCUGAGGUCAUGUGAUUUCCUGUCAACUGUGGAGAUCGACCCAAUCCCAGUGUCCACACUCACAGACUCUUGUGGAGAUCCAAGAUGUCUGCUCUACGUCAACCAUUUUGUCUGCAUCCAGGUCCCUCGACCUACAGCAUCAGCCCGGAUAUAUCUUGUAGUUUUUAACAUUAGUAGAAAUUAGUGAUAAAUGAGGCACAGCAUUAAACAUUCAUCAUAUCGUGCAAAACCUUACUGUCAUACGUCAUGUUAAGAAUAUUGUGAAGCUUGAUGGCACAUGAUUGCCAAUUGUUAACCCCCUCUGCGGUUCUGUACCAUGUCAGUAAACGCCUCACAGAG